GACGAACCCGUGCGAACGUUGUUCGGAAUCACUGGGCUUAAAGGGCGCGUAGGCGGGCGGCCUCGUCAAGGGUGAAAGGGUCCGGCUCAACCGGGCCAGUGCCCCUGAUACGGGUCGUCUCGAGGGAGGUAGGGGCAUGCGGAACUUCCGGUGGAGCGGUGAAAUGCGUAGAGAUCGGAAGGAACGCCGGUGGCGAAAGCGGCGUGCUGGACCUCUGCUGACGCUGAGGCGCGAAAGCCAGGGGAGCGAACGGGAUUAGAUA
rnacentral:rRNA from 1 species